UACGUAGGUGGCAAGCGUUGUCCGGAUUUACUGGGCGUAAAGAGCGCGCGGGCGGUCGUUCAAGUCGCGUGUGAAAGCCCCCGGCUCAACUGGGGAGGGUCACGCGAUACUGAUCGACUCGAAGGCAGGAGAGGGUAGUGGAAUUCCCGGUGUAGUGGUGAAAUGCGUAGAUACCUGGAGGAACACCGGUGGCGAAGGCGGCAUCCUGGACCGACACUGACGCUGAGGCGCGAAAGCUAGGGUAGCAAACGGG
rnacentral:rRNA from 1 species